rnacentral:rRNA from 1 species
AUUGAACGCUGGCGGCGUGCUUAACACAUGCAAGUCGAGCGGUAACAGGCGUAGCAAUACGUGCUGACGAGCGGCGAACGGGUGCGUAAUACAUCGGAAUCUGCCUCGUAGUGGGGAAUAACCCGGCGAAAGCCGGGCUAAUGCCGCAUACGAUCCACGGAUGAAAGCGGGGGACCGUAAGGCCUCGCGCUAUGAGAUGAGCCGAUGUCGGAUUAGCUAGNGGUGAGGUAACGGCUCACCAAGGCGACGAUCCGUAGCUGGUCUGAGAGGACGGCCAGCCACACUGGGACUGAGACACGGCCCAGACUCCUACGGGAGGCAGCAGUGGGGAAUAUUGGACAAUGGGGAAACCCUGAUCCAGCGACGCCGCGUGUGUGAAGAAGGCCUGCGGGUUGUAAAGCACUUUCGGU